UUUCCGUAGGUGAACCUGCGGAAGGAUCAUUAAGGUGUGUACCGUGUGUGGUAUAUAUAACAACUGUUGGAAAGUGGGUUUGGGCCGGCAGGCCCAAGCGCAUUAUAUAAGAUAAGAUAAGAAUUAUUUGAUGAUAAUUUGAGAAAAGACAACUUUUAACAAUGGAUCUCUUGGCUCUU
rnacentral:misc_RNA from 1 species